rnacentral:rRNA from 1 species
CAAUAGCGUAUAUUAAAGUUGUUGCAGUUAAAAAGCUCGUAGUUGGAUUUCUGGUUGAAGCGACCGGUCGGGCGUUGAUUCGUCUGCACUGGAGUCGGUUUUGGCCAUCCUCUAGGAAAGUGCGUCUGGUAUUAAGUUAUCGGGCGGAUGAUCCUGGUCUUUUACUGUGAAAAAAUUAGAGUGUUUAAAGCAGGCCUUCGCCUUGAAUACAUUAGCAUGGAAUAAUAAGAUAGGACUUUGGUCUAUUUUGUUGGUUUGCAGACCGAAGUAAUGAUUAAUAGGGAUAGUUGGGGGUAUUUAUAUUCCGAUGUCAGAGGUGAAAUUCUUAGAUUUUCGGAAGAUAAACUUAUGCGAAAGCAUUUACCAAGGAUGUUUUCAUUAA